rnacentral:rRNA from 1 species
UGGACGAAAGUCUGAUGGAGCAACGCCGCGUGAGUGAAGAAGGUUUUCGGAUCGUAAAACUCUGUUGUAAGGGAAGAACAAGUACGGUAGUAACUGGCCGUACCUUGACGGUACCUUAUUAGAAAGCCACGGCUAACUACGUGCCAGCAGCCGCGGUAAUACGUAGGUGGCAAGCGUUGUCCGGAAUUAUUGGGCGUAAAGCGCGCGCAGGCGGUCCUUUAAGUCUGAUGUGAAAGCCCACGGCUCAACCGUGGAAGGUCAUUGGAAACUGGGGGACUUGAGUGCAGAAGAGGUUAGUGGAAUUCCAAGUGUAGCGGUGAAAUGCGUAGAGAUUUGGAGGAACACCAGUGGCGAAGGCGACUAACUGGUCUGUAACUGACGCUGAGGCGCGAAAGCGUGGGGAGCAAACAGGAUUAGAUACCCUGGUAGUCCACGCCGUAAACGAUGAGUGCUAAGUGUUAGGGGGUUUCCGCCCCUUAGUGCUGCAGUAAACGCAU